rnacentral:rRNA from 1 species
UGGGGAAUAUUGGGCAAUGGGCGAAAGCCUGACCCAGCAACGCCGCGUGAGUGAUGAAGGCCUUCGGGUUGUAAAACUCUUUGGACAGGGACGAAGAAAGUGACGGUACCGGAAAAGCAAGCCACGGCUAACUACGUGCCAGCAGCCGCGGUAAUACGUAGGUGGCAAGCGUUGUCCGGAAUUAUUGGGCGUAAAGCGCGCGCAGGCGGCUUCCUAAGUCCAUCUUAAAAGUGCGGGGCUUAACCCCGUGAUGGGAUGGAAACUGGGAAGCUGGAGUAUCGGAGAGGAAAGUGGAAUUCCUAGUGUAGCGGUGAAAUGCGUAGAGAUUAGGAAGAACACCGGUGGCGAAGGCGACUUUCUGGACGAAAACUGACGCUGAGGCGCGAAAGCGUGGGGAGCAAACAGG